rnacentral:tRNA from 1 species
GCCUGGGUGGCUCAGUCGGUUGAGCAUCUGACUUCAGCUCAGGUCACGAUCUUGCUGUUUAUGGGUUCAAGCCCCGCAUCAGGCU